CAGCUAUAUCUUGUUGAAACACCAAUUCUUUUUACGAUCACUGAAGUUAAGCAACAAUGAGCCUGGUCAGUACUUAGAUGGGUGACCACUAGGGAAUACCAGCUGCUGUAA